rnacentral:rRNA from 1 species
AUUGAACGCUGGCGGCAUGCUUUACACAUGCAAGUCGAACGGUAACAGGUUAAGCUGACGAGUGGCGAACGGGUGAGUAAUGCAUCGGAACGUGCCCGGUCGUGGGGGAUAACGCAGCGAAAGCUGCGCUAAUACCGCAUACGAUCUGAGGAUGAAAGCGGGGGACCGUAAGGCCUCGCGCGAUCGGAGCGGCCGAUGUCAGAUUAGGUAGUUGGUGGGUGAAAGGCUCACCAAGCAAACGAUCUGUAGCUGGUCUGAGAGGACGACCAGCCAGACUGGGACUGAGACACGGCCCAGACUCCUACGGGAGGCAGCAGUGGGGAAUUUUGGACAAUGGGCGAAAGCCUGAUACAGCAAUGCCGCGUGCAGGAAGAAGGCCUUCGGGUUGUAAACUGCUUUUGUACGGAGCGAAAAGGUCUCCUCUAAUACAGGGGGCUCAUGACGGUACCGUAAGAAUAAGCACCGGCUAACUACGUGCCAGCAGCCGCGGUAA